rnacentral:snRNA from 1 species
AUGCUCAUUUUGACAGCACAACUACUAAAAUUGGAACAAUGCAGAUAUUAGCAUGGCUUCUGAACAAAGAUUAUAUGAAAAUUUGUGAAGCUUUCAUAU